UACGGGGGGAGCAAGCGUUGUUCGGAUUUACUGGGCGUAAAGGGCGCGUAGGCGGCCUCUGCAAGUCGACUGUGAAAUCUCCGAGCUUAACCCGGAAAGGUCAGCCGAUACUGCAGGGCUAGAGUGCAGAAGGGGCAACUGGAAUUCUCGGUGUAGCGGUGAAAUGCGUAGAUAUCGAGAGGAACACCUGCGGCGAAGGCGGGUUGCUGGGCUGGCACUGACGCUGAGGCGCGAAAGCUAGGGGAGCGAACGGG
rnacentral:rRNA from 1 species